UUCGGUGGUCAUUUUCAUUUUUCCAUUACUGAAAAUAAACACAUUUGGGAUAAUAUCUUUUCAAUUCUGGUAUUGUAUUUUUUACAACAUGUACCCUUGAACAUAUUCGAGAAUAGCACAUAUUUGUUUUGGAUGACGUAAGUAUCACGUGUAAGAUUCAACUCACAAUGUCAUAAGCUGUUUCUCUGCGUGUCUGCUAUACAUGCUAACACAUGGUCUAUGUUUAUUUUUAGCGCUUUGUAAUAACAUUCCUGCCACUCUAUGCUGAACGUGAAAGAUAGUUUUAGCCUUAUAUAGAUUGUCGCUCCUCUUUCCUGUUGAAAAUUUUCCUUAAGUUUUUUCUUACCGCAGAACAUCUUAAAUUGUUGUUAUCAUUUCAUUUACCAAUAUUUCAUUCAGUAUUUGUUCCUGUGUAAAAAUGUUUGUUUGUCAAACGUAAAAGUUCUGACUUUAAAUCGGUCUGCAUUAGCUAUAACGAUUCGUAAUAUGGGUUGUAUUAAAUAAGAAAUCUUCAAGUCGACUUCUUUCAAUGUAAAAGAUAUCUACGUCAUGUACGUUUUAGUCAAACUGACAUAAAGCAUCGAAAUCUUCUUGUUAUCCACAAAUAUAAGGGAAUAUAGCACGAUACAUGAACAAUUUCAUCAGUAAACACUUUCACUCAAAUUAUUUGUAGCAGAGGUUUAAUCGCGAAUCCAAGAAUAUUACACCGAAACGCAAUGUAUGAAUUAGAUGUAAGAUCAAAAUAUUUGUGUCUGAGUCGUUUAAUUAAAACAGUUCUUCUACUUCUAAUUUUGAUUCUGGGUCGGUACGAUUUGUAAACAUUGGCGCCUGUUCAAAUUUCCUAAGGGGGUUGAGAUCGGCCUUCAUUUCCAAAAUUGUU
rnacentral:lncRNA from 1 species